GACGUAGGUCGCGAACGUUUAUCCGGAAUUAUUGGGCGUAAAGGGUGCGUAGAUGGUUUAAUAAGUUAUCAGCGGUAAAUCGGGGCUCAACCUCGUGGAAGUCGGUAAUACUGUUAUACUUGAGUGCAGGAGAGGUUAACGGAACUCCAUGUGGAGCGGUAAAAUGCGUAGAUAUAUGGAAGAACAUCAAUAACGGCGAAGGCAGUUAACUAUUCUGUUACUGACAUUGAGGCACGAAAGCGUGGGGAGCAAACAGGG
rnacentral:rRNA from 1 species